AUUGAACGCUGGCGGCAUGCUUUACACAUGCAAGUCGGACGAGUGGAGCACGGGUGAGUAAUAUAUCGGAACGUACCGAGUAAUGGGGGAUAACUACUCGCAAGCUUAGCUCAUAACGCAUAUUAUUCGAGCGGCCGAUAUCUGGUUAUCUAGUUGUGUGGGUAAAGGCAUACGAAGGCGACGAUCAGUCGCGGGGCUGAGAGGAUGAUCCGCCACACUGGGACGGAGCCACGGCCCAGAGUCCUACGGGAGGCAGCAGUGGGGAAUUUGGGACAAUGGGCGCAAUCCUGAUCCAGCCAUGCCGCGUGUCUGAAGAAGGCCUUCGGGUUGUAAAGGACUUUUGUCAGGGAAGCGGGACCUGAAGAAUAAGCACCGGCUAACUACGUGCCAGCAGCCGCGGUAAUUC
rnacentral:rRNA from 1 species